rnacentral:misc_RNA from 1 species
AGGGUCAUAUUUCACCAUC